UGUUUUUCUCUUUGUGAGACAAUUUUCCAUAUUUAGAUGAUUCUAUUAUCAAAUAAGAAAGUCGAGGUAAAGAAUGUUAAUGCUUUUGGCCUCUUAAGUAUGAAUCUGUAUUUAAAUGUUUUUCUUCAGAUUGAACUGAGAGACUGCAAUCCUCUCCAGCAUGAAAGUGGUUUUCAUCUUAAACUGAACUGACUGGUAAAGACGUGCUUGCAAUUUGGGUAAAUUCAUCUAUUAUUGCUAGCUGGAGUAGGUACUCUUUUAAUUUGCAGUCGUUCAAAAAAAAAAAAAUUCCUAGCAAUUAAAUGCAUUUACACAUUUAUUUCAUUUAAUAUCUAGUUCUGUGUUCUUCCAUAGAUUUCAAAUAUUAAGUAUUAUGCUUUUAGACUCAUAAACCAUGCUAGUUAACCAAGAAAUGAGCUGAUUAGAUGACUUACAUGUAACUAAAUUAUCUUUAAAAAAUGCAUCUUCGUAUCUCUAUAGUAAAACUUGUCUUCUCUGUCAAUUGCUUUGAUGAAUUGAAUGGUAGAUAUUCACUCACUGGUAUAUUUAAUAACAAGACUAAAACCUGAAAUCUAAGGGUUCAGAUAUGGCUUCAGGUGAGACAAAUCAAGAGUUCUGGAGUUAUUGGAAGCCCCAAAACAAAAAAAAUUACAGUCAAAGUACAUAUCGAUCUUAACGAAUUUCUUGAACAGGCAGAUCAAAAGCCAUUGAUGACUUCUGAUUAACCAGAGGUUGAAAGCGAAGCAGAGGGUGACCAUAGACUUCGUUUUUGGAGACUUUUAAAGUAGCUUUGGAAGUCAUGCUUGCAUAAUGCUGACAUACACAGAUAUAUAUAAUCAUAAAUAUAAAGUCAUAUAUGCAACUAAAGUUGGGCACCUAUAAAAACUAUCACUGGAUGAACUAUGUUGAUAUUGCCAUUCCUGGAGUUGAAAAUGCUACUCCAUCAUAUUACAAUUCUUUAGGACAAAUAUCUCCUUGUUCUUGUGUGCUUUUAAAUUUAUCUUUCAGUUUUUAAUUGUAGCUUGGAUUUUGUUUAGUAUGACAUCAAAACUGCAGGUGGUUCUAAAAUUAUCAAUCUCUGUUUCUCUUUUAAGGAUAUAACUGCUUAGCUCUUUCCUUGAAUGAUACAUGAACCUAAUCCAAGUACAUCAAAUAUCUUGCCUUGCUAGUCGAUUAAAAAAGGGUGUAGGGUUUGUGAUACCCAAGAAUGACAAUAUGGCCUAUCGGUCUAGAGCAAUCAUGUCCACUUAGGUCUGGAUAACCACCAAACCUUUUGAAAACCACUAUACUUGCUUCAUGGAUUUGGUGAAACUUUCUCAAGGAUAUCAAUCAUUAAGCAGUUCCUUUUUCUUUGCAUGUUAACAUAAAAGAUAGUCUUUGUACAGGGACCUAACCCAACUAAGUGACACAAAACUUCAUAUAUUAGGCUAUCACUUAGCAUUUUAGCUUCUGGGUUUCCUUUCCUAUAAUUUAUUUGAAUUGCAUGGUUUGCUUUGGUGACCGUUUGAUAUUGCAUCAAGUUUUUUUUUUUUUUUUUUUCUGUUCUUGGUUCUGUAAAGGCUUGUUUAUUGCUUGCACUAACUCGUGGGAUGUCACCAUCAUAUAGUGUGGCUGUCAGUUCAGCAUGCGAAGGCUGAUCGGGAUGCAGAGUCUGUGGAGUAGGCAGAAGACACUUACCCUGGUGAUAUUGUCCUAACUUCUCAAAUCACAUUUGAUACGUUGUGGUCAUUAAUAGUGUCGUAUUGGUUACAAUAUAAUGUCAUAGCAGAAUAUCCUUGUAGCAGUCAUGAAACUCUUACCAGGCUCUGUUUCUACCUCUAGGGAAAUAAGAGGAAAAAGUAGGAGAAUGAUUAGUAUGUUAGCAAAAAGCUGACACAUACCUUAGUAGUAGGAUUUAGAUAAUUGAUGAGGAUAUGAAUCUUUAAUUUUUGGUUGAACGGUUUCAUUAAUUUAAGUGUCAUCACAUGUAUUAGCAUUUCUCUUCUCCUUUAAGAUGGCAUCUAAAUUUGUCCAAAAUCAUUCCACAUUUCUACAUGAAAAUUUCAGGUCCCAGUAAGUGGCCAAUAUCUAAUCAGAUAAUGUUAAGAUUAGCUGUAUUGGCAUCAAAUACACGAGGAUCUGUUCAGUUACUGACUUAGCCGAGAUCACUUGAGAAUAUAGUGCAAUCCAAGUCAGCACGCAGAUCGUAAUGGCGCCCAUCAAGAUCGUAUCCUACAACCUUACCGGAGGAACUUCCUGCUUGAGGAAGCCGUUAGUAUAUAUAUAGAUUUGGAGGGGCAACAUCUCGAGUGGACCAAAUGAAGAUCUAAAGGUGGAACGGUCAAUCAAUCAAGAGUGGGAUAAGAGUAAUGGAAGCUGUUCUUUGGCUUAAUCAUGCAUUCCGGUCCAGAAGAGCACUGAUGGAAGCAGGGCAACGUCGAAUGGUUUAACAAACCGUUCACUUGUCAUUGCAAAGACUAUAUGCAGAUGUUAUCAACCCAUUUAAAAGUCCAACAUUAGAACUGUGCAUUCGUAAGCUUUAGUUGACUGCAACAUGUUUUAAUACGGCCGUGUGGGUUAGUUUUGUUUACACGCUUUGCCUAAUUAGAUUCGACACGACGGAAGUGGGCAACGAGAAGGAAGACCAAGUCCAAAACUAGCUCGGUCGUCAGAAGCUAUUUGGUCCCACGCAAUUACUGUAUUUAAGAAACACAGUAAGUUCCACGUAGGGUUUCGAUCUCUCCUUCCUCACUCGACUGUGAUUGGAUUUAUUUUAGCAUGAGCAUAGGAUGUAUUUUGGUGAUUACA